AACGAACGCUGGCGGCAUGCCUAACACAUGCAAGUCGAACGAGACCUUCGGGUCUAGUGGCGCACGGGUGCGUAACGCGUGGGAACCUGCCCUUAGGUUCGGAAUAACUCCCCGAAGGGGGUGCUAAUACCGGAUAAUUUCUUCGGACCAAAGAUUUAUCGCCUUUGGAUGGGCCCGCGUUGGAUUAGCUAGUUGGUAGGGUAAAAGCCUACCAAGGCGACGAUCCAUAGCUGGUCUGAGAGGAUGAUCAGCCACACUGGGACUGAGACACGGCCCAGACUCCUACGGGAGGCAGCAGUGGGGAAUAUUGGACAAUGGGCGAAAGCCUGAUCCAGCAAUGCCGCGUGAGUGAUGAAGGCCUUAGGGUUGUAAAGCUCUUUUACCCGGGAUGAUAAUGACAGUACCGGGAGAAUAAGCUCCGGCUAACUCCGUG
rnacentral:rRNA from 1 species